rfam:Schistosoma rodhaini strain Burundi genome assembly, scaffold: SROB_scaffold0010601
AUCCAGCUAACGAGUCCCAAAUAGGACGAAACGCGCGUCCUGGAU